rnacentral:rRNA from 1 species
GACGAACGCUGGCGGCGUGGAUAAGACAUGCAAGUCGAACGGGAACUUCAGCUGUAGCAAUACAGUUGAAGUUUUAGUGGCGAACGGGUGCGUAACACGUGGGCAAUCUGCCGAGAAGUGGGGGAUAGCUCGCCGAAAGGCGAAUUAAUACCGCAUAUGAUCAGCUAAGACAUCUUAGCGACAUCAAAGCCGGGGUAACCUGGCGCUUCUUGAUGAGCCCGCGGCCUAUCAGCUAGUUGGCGAGGUAACGCUCACCAAGGCUAUGACGGGUAGCUGGUCUGAGAGGACGACCAGUCACACUGGAACUGAGACACGGUCCAGACACCUACGGGUGGCAGCAGUCGAGAAUUUUUCUCAA